GAUGAACGCUGACAGAAUGCUAAACACAUGCAAGUCGACUCGAGUCUUCGGACUUGGGUGGCGCACGGGUGAGUAACGCGUAAAGAACUUGCCUCUUAGACCGGGACAACAUCUGGAAACGGAUGCUAAUACCGGAUAUUAUGGUUUUUUCGCAUGGAGGAAUCAUGAAAGCUAGAUGCGCUAAGAGAGAGCUUUGCGUCCCAUUAGCUAGUUGGUGAGGUAACGGCCCACCAAGGCAAUGAUGGGUAGCCGGCCUGAGAGGGUGAACGGCCACAAGGGGACUGAGACACGGCCCUUACUCCUACGGGAGGCAGCAGUGGGGAAUAUUGGACAAUGGACCACAAGUCUGAUCCAGCAAUUCUGUGUGCACGAUGACGUUUUUCGGAAUGUAAAGUGCUUUCAGUCGGGAAGAAGUCAGUGACGGUACCGACAGAAGAAGCGACGGCUAAAUACGUGCCAGCAGCCGCGGUAAUACGUAUGUCGCAAGCGUUAUCCGGAUUUAUUGGGCGUAAAGCGCGUCUAGGCGGCAAGGAAAGUCUGAUGUGAAAAUGCGGAGCUCAACUCCGUAUGGCGUUGGAAACUGCCUUACUAGAGUACUGGAGAGGUAGGCGGAACUACAAGUGUAGAGGUGAAAUUCGUAGAUAUUUGUAGGAAUGCCGAUGGGGAAGCCAGCCUACUGGACAGAUACUGACGCUAAAGCGCGAAAGCGUGGGUAGCAAACAGG
rnacentral:rRNA from 1 species